rnacentral:rRNA from 1 species
CCUACGGGAGGCAGCAGUGGGGAAUAUUGGACAAUGGGCGAAAGCCUGAUCCAGCCAUGCCGCGUGUGUGAAGAAGGCCUUCGGGUUGUAAAGCACUUUCAGUGGGGAAGAAAGCCUUGGGGCUAAUACCCUCGAGGAAGGACAUCACCCACAGAAGAAGCACCGGCUAACUCCGUGCCAGCAGCCGCGGUAAUACGGAGGGUGUGAGCGUUAAUCGGAAUUACUGGGCGUAAAGCGCGCGUAGGCGGUCUGAUAAGCCGGUUGUGAAAGCCCCGGGCUCAACCUGGGAACGGCAUCCGGAACUGUCAGGCUAGAGUGCAGGAGAGGAAGGUAGAAUUCCCGGUGUAGCGGUGAAAUGCGUAGAGAUCGGGAGGAAUACCAGUGGCGAAGGCGGCCUUCUGGACUGACACUGACGCUGAGGUGCGAAAGCGUGGGUAGCAAACAGGAUUAGAUACCCUGGUAGUC